GUCUCUUUGGAGACAUUUGAUAAAAUUGGAAACGAUAUAUAGAAGAUUAGCAUGGUCCUUGUGUAAGGAUGACAUGCACAAAUCAAGAAAUGGUCCAAAUUUUU